rnacentral:rRNA from 1 species
UACGUAGGGUGCAGGCGUUUAAUCGGAAUUACUGGGCGUAAAGCGUGCGCAGGCGGUUUGUUAAGACAGAUGUGAAAUCCCCGGGCUCAACCUGGGAAUUGCAUUUGUGACUGCACGGCUAGAGUGUGUCAGAGGGGGGUAGAAUUCCACGUGUAGCAGUGAAAUGCGUAGAGAUGUGGAGGAAUACCGAUGGCGAAGGCAGCCCCCCUGGGAUAACACUGACGCUCAUGCACGAAAGCGUGGGGGAGCAAACAGG